rnacentral:ncRNA from 1 species
UUGAAAAAAUAUAAAUUGAUUCGUAUAUUCUCAGUAAUUUGGUCUGGGAGUUUCUACAAGGAACCGUUAAUUCCUAACUACGAAUGGGUGUAUUUAUUGU